UACGUAGGGUGCAAGCGUUGUCCGGAAUUAUUGGGCGUAAAGAGCUCGUAGGUGGCUUGUUGCGUCUGCCGUGAAAGCCCGUGGCUUAACUGCGGGUCUGCGGUGGAUACGGGCAGGCUAGAGGCUGGUAGGGGCAAGCGGAAUUCCUGGUGUAGCGGUGAAAUGCGCAGAGUAUCAGGAGGAACACCGAUGGCGAAGGCAGCUCGCUGGGACGGUACUGACGCUGAGGCGCGAAAGCGUGGGGAGCAAACAGG
rnacentral:rRNA from 1 species